UAGGGAAUAUUGCACAAUGGACGAAAGUCUGAUGCAGCGACGCCGCGUGAGUGAUGAAGGCCUUCGGGUCGUAAAACUCUGUGAUAUGGGAAGAUGAUGACGGUACCAUAUCAGAAAGGACCGGCUAACUUCGUGCCAGCAGCCGCGGUAAUACGAGGGGUCCAAGCGUUGUUCGGAAUCACUGGGCGUAAAGCGGGUGUAGGUGGCUAGGCAAGUUAGGUGUGAAAGCCCCGGGCUCAACCCGGGAAGUGCACCUAAAACUACUUAGCUUGAGUAAGGAAGAGGAUAGGAGAAUUCUUGGUGUAGUGGUGAAAUACGUAGAUAUCAAGAGGAACACCGAUGGCGAAGGCAAUCCCCUGGACCUGUACUGACGCUCAUGCACGAAAGCGUGGGGAGCAAACA
rnacentral:rRNA from 1 species